rnacentral:antisense_RNA from 2 species
CGUUAUGGCGGCAGUACGCGGGCAGGCUUCGGCCUGGCCGGGCUUUGCAUGGUUCACCGGUUUCUCACCCCGCGUACCGCUGCCACCUUC